rnacentral:rRNA from 1 species
AUGGAGGCCUCCGUGCUCAAGCCGUCGGUGCUGCUCCCUCCGGCGAGGGGAGCGCCCUCCACGGCGCGGGGGCGGGAGCGGGGCUGCGUCGUCGCCGGCGCCGGCAGCAAGAGACUCGAGACACGGCGGCCGGAAGGGAGCAGCAGCGACGGCGCGCCCAGGAGCGAGCCGGCCAGAGGAUUCCACGGGCACGUCCUAUCCCUGACGGCAACGGCAGCGGCGGCCAUGAGCAGCAGCGCCGCCGCCAUGCCGUGCCACGCCGCGACCGCCCCGGCGGCGCACGGGCCACCGCUCUCCUACUACUACAGGGCGGCGAUGGUGGUGGGGGAACUGGACCCGGCGACGGCGAAGGUGGUGAUCGGGGUGGCGGGGCCGGCGCUGUCGGCGGUGGGGUUCCUGUUCGUGGCGCGGAUCGUCAUGUCGUGGUACCCGAGGCUGCCGGUCACCAAGUUCCCCUACGUGGUGGCGUACGCGCCCACGGAGCCCAUCCUGGCCGCCACCCGCCGGGUGAUCCCGCCGCUGGGCGGCGUCGACGUGACGCCGGUGGUCUGGUUCGGCCUCGUCAGCUUCCUCAGCGAGAUCCUCGUCGGGCCCCAGGGCCUCCUCGUCCUCCUCUCCCAGCAGCAAGUCUCCCCCUCCCCAUAG